GUCCCUUCGGGGACAUCCGAUAAAAUUGGAACGAUACAGAGAAGAUUAGCAUGGCCCCUGCGCAAGGCAGUGUUAUCAAAGGCGCGCUUAAGCCCUAA